AUGGGGUUCGACAAGGAGGCGAGCUCCUCCUCCUCCGGGCUCGACGCGGCGGCGCUGCUGCCGAAGCACGGCGGCGCGGGCGUCGGCGCGCGCCUGUCGUCGCAGCCCAAGACCUUCGCCAACGUCUUCAUCGCGGUGGUCGGGUCGGGCGUGCUGGGCCUCCCCUACACCUUCUCCCGCACGGGCUGGGCGGCGGGCUCCAUCCUGCUCCUCGCCGUGGCCGGGCUCACCUUCCACUGCAUGAUGCUGCUCGUCGCCUGCCGCCGCCGCCUCGCCGACGAGCACCCCAAGAUCGCCUCCUUCGGCGACCUGGGCGCGGCCGUGUACGGCGCCGCGGGCCGCCACACCGUUGACGCCAUGCUCGUGCUCAGCCAGGCAAGCUUCUGCGUCGGCUACCUCAUCUUCAUCGCCAACACCUUGGCGCACCUCCACCCAAUCGGGGACCCGUCGGCGUCCUCCCCUCUCCUCACGGCCAAGGCGCUCUUCAUCUGGGUCAUGCUUCCGUUCCAGCUCGGGCUCAACUCCAUCAAGACGCUCACGCUCCUCGCGCCGCUCAGCAUCUUCGCCGACGUCGUGGAUCUCGGCGCCAUGGGCGUCGUGCUUGGCCAGGACGUGUCCACGUGGCUGUCCGAAAAGCCCCCCGUGUUCGCCUUCGGGGGGCCCGCCGAGCUCCUGUACGGCCUCGGCGUCGCCGUCUACGCGUUCGAGGGCAUCGGCAUGGUCCUGCCGCUGGAGGCGGAGGCCGCGGACAAGCGCAAGUUCGGCGGCACGCUCGGGCUGUCCAUGGUGUUCAUCGCCGUCAUGUACGGGCUGUUCGGCGCCAUGGGCUACCUCGCCUUCGGCGCGUCCACGCGGGACAUCAUCACCACCAACCUCGGCGCCGGGUGGCUCUCGGUGGCCGUGCAGCUCGGCCUCUGCAUCAACCUCUUCUUCACCAUGCCGGUGAUGAUGAACCCGGUCUACGAGGUCGCUGAGCGCCUGCUCUACGGGAAGCGGUACGCCUGGUGGCUGCGCUGGAUCCUGGUCGUGUUCGUGGGGCUCAUGGCGAUGCUCGUGCCCAACUUCGCCGACUUCCUCUCGCUCGUCGGGAGCAGCGUCUGCGUCCUGCUCGGAUUCGUGCUGCCGGCCGCAUUCCACAUGAAGGUGCUGGGCGCCGAUAUCGGGUGGCCUGCGCUCGUCGCUGAUGUGGCUGUCGUCGUCGUCGGCCUGGCGCUCUCGGCGUCCGGGACAUGGACGUCGCUCGCGCAGAUGUUUGGUGCUCCCAACGCGUAA
rnacentral:rRNA from 1 species